AGUUCGGACUGAAGGCUGAAAUUCGCCUUCACGAAGUCGGAAUUGCUAGUAAUGGCAGGUCAGCAUACUGCCGUGAAUACGUUCCCGGGCCCUUGUACACACCGCCCGUCACACCAUGAGAGUUAGGAAUACCCGAAGCCUGUGAGCUAACUUUAAUAGAGGCAGCAGUCGAAGGUAGAACUAAUGAUUGGGGUGAAGUCGUAACAAGGUAAC
rnacentral:rRNA from 1 species